rnacentral:rRNA from 1 species
GACAGAGGGUGCAAACGUUGUUCGGAAUUACUGGGCGUAAAGCGCGUGUAGGCGGCCAGGUAGGUCCGUUGUGAAAACUGGAGGCUUAACCUCCAGCUGUCGAUGGAAACCAUCUGGCUAGAGUCCGGAAGAGGAGAGUGGAAUUCCUGGUGUAGCGGUGAAAUGCGCAGAUAUCAGGAAGAACACCCGUGGCGAAGGCGGCUCUCUGGGACGGUACUGACGCUGAGACGCGAAAGCGUGGGGAGCGAACAGG